rnacentral:rRNA from 1 species
UGGAGCAAUCCGUGAGUAGAGUGGCAAACGGGUGAGUAACGCGUGGGCGACCUACCUUCAAGUGGGGGAUAACUUUCCGAAAGGAAGGCUAAUACCGCAUAACAUCCCGUCUUUGAAUAGACGGGUAUCAAAGCCGGGGAUCGCAAGACCUGGCGCUAGAAGAGGGGCCCGCGUCCGAUUAGCUAGUUGGUGAGGUAACGGCUCACCAAGGCUCCGAUCGGUAUCCGGCCUGAGAGGGCGGACGGACACACUGGAACUGAGACACGGUCCAGACUCCUACGGGAGGCAGCAGUGGGGAAUUGUUCACAAUGGGCGCAAGCCUGAUGACGCAACGCCGCGUGGAGGAUGAAGAUUUUCGGAUCGUAAACUCCUUUCGACCGAGAUGAAUUUCCGCCGACCUAAUACGUUGGCGGGGUGACAGUAUCGAGGGAAGCAGCCCCGGCUAACUCCGUGCCAGCAGCCGCGGUAAUACGGGGGGGGCAAGCGUUGUUCGGAAUUACUGGGCGUAAAGGGUUUGUAGGUGGCUUGCUAAGUCAGACGUGAAAUCCCUCGGCUUAACCGGGGAACUGCGUUUGAUACUGGAUGGCUUGAGUUUGGGAGAGGGAUGCGGAAUUCCAGGUGUAGCGGUGAAAUGCGUAGAUAUCUGGAGGAACACCGGUGGCGAAGGCGGCAUCCUGGACCAAUACUGACGCUGAGGAGCGAAAGCCAGGGGAGCAAACGGGAUUAGAUACCCCGGUAGUCCUGGCCCUAAACGAUGAAUGCUUGGUGUGGCGGGUAUCGAUCCCUGCCGUGCCGAAGCUAACGCAUUAAGCAUUCCGC